CACGUAGGAGGCGAGCGUUGUCCGGAAUCAUUGGGCGUAAAGAGCGCGCAGGCGGUUUUGUAAGCCAGAUGUGAAAUCCCCGGGCUCAACCUGGGAAUGGCCGUUGAAACUGGCGAACUGGAGUGUGGCAGAGGGGGAUGGAAUUCCGCGUGUAGCAGUGAAAUGCGUAGAUAUGCGGAGGAACACCGAUGGCGAAGGCAAUCCCCUGGGCCUGCACUGACGCUCAUGCACGAAAGCGUGGGGAGCAAACAGG
rnacentral:rRNA from 1 species